ACGAGGCCCCGGGCGGUCCCGUGCCGUGAGCCGAGACACGGGAGGGCUUCUCCCCGGAGAUCAGCCGGCUCCGCGCAGGACCACUCCAAAGUCAGACCCUAUGUCCGAGCGCGUCGUCCAAACGCUUCUUGAACUCUGGCCGUGACGCUGCCCUGGGGAGCCUUUGCUCGGACCAGACCACCAUCUCGGUUAAAAAGAGCGUGCGAGACCCUCAUGCCCUUCGUGGGGCACCCGCAGCGCCAGCAAGGUGUCUGCUCAUGGCCCGCGGCCGUGCAGUGGAUGCGCACUUGCAAAAUGUCACGGAAUGGCUUCAAGUUGAACCGCACCUGGUAAAUCUUUGCCCUUCAGAAUCACAGGGCAAGCUUCCAAAGGGGCAGGGCUCCGUGUGGGGCUGGAGUUCCGAGCAGCCCUGCGCACAGCCGCUUCUCGUGCUUCAAAUGCCCAACGUUAAACACGUCUGAACUCAAGAAGCCCCUCAACACGUACUUCUGCCUAUUCCUAACAGCAACACCAGAGGAGAUGCUUGCAUUAAUCACGACUGAAACCCAUGUCACACUUUGGUUUCCCUUUGGCUGCAGUUCUUGUGCAUAUAUAAAAUGGGCACACAAAAGAGCAUGGUGAGACACCGUGCAUUAUGAGAGCCCCAAGCCAGUCACCUUUGACCCUGGUCCAGUGGAGGCAUACAGACACCAAAAUGGACGUAGUGACAGCAGCACUGUCCCCUCAGCCUGGCAGCUCCCACACAGUCUCUCUUUGGCAGUGAUGCACUGAGCAAAGAAUCCUAAAUACACUCCAGCAUCUCCUGAGCUCUGCAUUGUGACAGUAGAGCGUUCCCAGAACUUUUAGGAUGACCUGACUACGGAAUCUUGAUUUACAGGAUUUAUCUUGAAAGUGGUAACCAAUUUCUUCUAAUCUGAUUGACUCUAAAGAUUAAAUAACAUCUUGGAUA